rnacentral:rRNA from 1 species
AAACGACUCUCGGCAACGGAUAUCUCGGCUCUCGCAUCGAUGAAGAACGUAGCGAAAUGCGAUACUUGGUGUGAAUUGCAGAAUCCCGUGAACCAUCGAGUCUUUGAACGCAAGUUGCGCCCGAAGCCAUUAGGUUGAGGGCACGUCUGCCUGGGCGUCUCAC